rnacentral:rRNA from 1 species
CCUACGGGUGGCAGCAGUGAGGAAUAUUGGUCAAUGGGCGCGAGCCUGAACCAGCCAAGUCGCGUGAGGGAAGACGGUCCUAUGGAUUGUAAACCUCUUUUGUCGGGGAGCAAAAGACGCCACGCGUGGCGUUCCGAGAGUACCCGAAGAAAAAGCAUCGGCGAACUCCGUGCCAGCAGCCGCGGUAAUACGGAGGAUGCGAGCGUUAUCCGGAUUUAUUGGGUUUAAAGGGUGCGCAGGCGGAAGAUCAAGUCAGCGGUAAAAUUGAGAGGCUCAACCUCUUCGAGCCGUUGAAACUGGAUUGCUUGAGUGAGCGAGAAGUAUGCGGAAUGCGUGGUGUAGCGGUGAAAUGCAUAGAUAUCACGCAGAACUCCGAUUGCGAAGGCAGCAUACCGGCGCUCAACUGACGCUCAUGCACGAAAGUGUGGGUAUAGAACAGGAUUAGAUACCCCGGUAGUC